rnacentral:rRNA from 1 species
AUCCGCAGCUUCGGUUGCGGUGAAAGUGGCAAACGGGUGAGUAACGCGUGGGAACCUGCCCAGAGGUAGGGAAUAACCGCGGGAAACUGCGGCUAAUACCCUAUGUGUCCUGAGGGACAAAGAUUUAUCGCCUUUGGAGGGGCCUGCGUCGGAUUAGGUAGUUGGUGGGGUAACGGCCUACCAAGCCAUCGAUCCGUAGCUGGUCUGAGAGGAUGAUCAGCCACACUGGGACUGAGAUACGGCCCAGACUCCUACGGGAGGCAGCAGUGGGGAAUAUUGGACAAUGGGGGCAACCCUGAUCCAGCAAUGCCGCGUGAGUGAUGAAGGCCUUCGGGUUGUAAAGCUCUUUCGGCGGGGAAGAUGAUGACGGUACCCGCAGAAGAAGCCCCGGCUAACUUCGUGCCAGCAGCCGCGGUAAUACGAAGGGGGCUAGCGUUGUUCGGAAUUACUGGGCGUAAAGGGCGCGUAGGCGGUGCUGUAAGUCAGGCGUGAAAUCCCCGGGCUCAACCUGGGAAUUGCGCAUGAUACUGCGGCGCUGGAAUGCGGGAGAGGAUGGCGGAAUUCCCAGUGUAGAGGUGAAAUUCGUAGAUAUUGGGAAGAACACCGGUGGCGAAGGCGGCCAUCUGGCCCGUGAUUGACGCUGAGGCGCGAAAGCGUGGGGAGCAAACAGGAUUAGAUACCCUGGUAGUCCACGCCGUAAACGAUGAGUGCUAGACGUCGGGGAGCUUGCUCUUCGGUGUCGCCGCUAACGCAUUAAGCACUCCGCCUGGGGAGUACGGUCGCAAGAUUAAAACUCAAAGGAAUUGACGGGGG